AGGAGGCAAGACAGCAGGCCACGGGAGGCUGGGGCCGAUCGCUCUAGGGCCCUGUCCUGGCCCUGCCUGGGCAGCUGGCAGGAGCUGUUUGUGAUUUCCACAACAGCCCUGUGGAUGAGGUCAGCCCAGCACGUCUGCGGUGGCCACACAGUCCACCACCACCACCCUGCUCCGGUUGUAAGCUCUGGGAAUACAGAAGCCUGUCGCAGGCUCCCCACAGCGCCUCUAGCUCACCAGGCAGGCUGCUGCACAGGGGCGCCCCCACCCCCACCCCGCAAGCUCACAGGUCCCUCCUCUCUGCGAUGCUGCCCAGGCCCUGACCUCUCUCUAAGCCGCCAAGGCACAGUGCCUGCAGGGACACAGACGGAGCACCAGCCUGCUGUGAGACGACAAGGCAGAGGCCUGCGGUCCGCAGGCCCACCACAGCUGCCAGAAACGACGUGAUGGUGUCGCUCCACCCCUGCCCGAGCAGAAGUGAAACGCGAACCCAGCAGCCCAGGAAAGAAGAGAAGGAACUAGCUGAGAGCCGGCGCUGUGGUGUAGAGAGUAAAGCCACCCCCUGCAACACUGGCAUCCCAUGUGGGCACUGGUUCACAUCCCAGCUGCUCCUCUUCUGACCCAGCUCUCUGCUGUGGCCUGGGAAAGCAGUGGAAGAUGCCCAAGUGCUUAGGACCCUGUACCCACGUGGGAGACCCGGAUGAAGCUCCUGGUGGAUGGAAGAUCUCUCU